AAACUUUCAACAACGGAUCUCUUGGCUCUGGCAUCGAUGAAGAACGCAGCGAAAUGCGAUACGUAAUGUGAAUUGCAGAAUCCAGUGAAUCAUCGAAUCUUUGAACGCACAUUGCGCCCGCCAGUAUUCUGGCGGGCAUGCCUGUUCGAGCGUCAUU
rnacentral:rRNA from 1 species